AUUGAACGCUGGCGGCAGGCCUAACACAUGCAAGUCGAGCGAGCGGAGGACGGGUGAGUAAUGUAUGGGGAUCUGCCUGAUGGAGGAGGCUAACUACUGGAAACGGUAGCUAAUACAGCAUACCAUCAGAUGAACCCAUAUGGGAUUAGCUUGUAGGUAAGGUAACGGCUUACCUAGGCGACGAACCAUAGCUGGUCUGAGAGGAUGAUCAGCCACACUGGGACUGAGACACGGCCCAGACUCCUACGGUAGGCAGCAGUGGGGAAUAUUGCACAAUGGGCGAAAGCCUGAUGCAGCCAUGCCGCGUGUAUGAAGAAGGCCUUCGGGUUGUAAAGUACUUUCAGUCGGGAGGCGUUACCUACAGAAGAAGCACCGGCUAACUCCGUGCCAGCAGCCGCGGUAAUAC
rnacentral:rRNA from 1 species